rnacentral:misc_RNA from 1 species
CAAAUCCAUCACGUCUCCUCAUCCGAGACCACGUUGAAAUGUUCCCCAGGUCAGGCUGCUGUCGUCACUCUGUGGCGGCACGCCUGGUCUGGGCUGUUAAACUAGUGUUUCCUUGUUGCUCAAUUGUAUACUGGUGCUCAUCUACCCGAUGACGCUUGACAACAAAGUA